UCUGCUCAAUGAUUUUUUAAAUUGCUGUGGUAUUAUGACUAUACGAAGGUAUUGAAAUAAGACUUUAAUUGGGUGCUAAGAGAAUGGUUUAACAUGGAUAAGCUUUUUUCUUAUUUAAAUUAAAAUUUAAUUUAAAAAUGAAAAAGUUUUUAUAUGAUUCUAGGACAAGAAGACCCUAUGAAUUUUUCUAAAAUUUAUUUUAGAGGUUUGUUAGGAGAGAGGUUAAAUUAAUUUUUAGUUAAUUGGGGUGAUUUUUAAAUUUUGAGAAACUUUAGAAAUAUGUUUUUGGAUCCAAUAGUAUUGAUAGGUUGAAUAAAAUACUCUAGGGAUAACAGCGUUAUUACUUUGGAUAGUUCAUAUAGAUAAAGUAGAUUGCGACCUCGAUGUUGGAUUAGGAUACCUUUAUUAUGAAGAAGUUAUAAAAGGGAGUUUGCUCAACUCUUAAAUUCCUACA
rnacentral:rRNA from 1 species